rnacentral:rRNA from 1 species
AGCAGCCGCGGUAAUUCCAGCUCCAAUAGCGUAUAUUAAAGUUGUUGCAGUUAAAAAGCUCGUAGUUGAAUUUCGGGGUCAGUAGGCUGGUCGUGCCCCCGGUACGUACUGGUCUAACUGAUUCCUCCUUCCUGAAGAACCGUAAUGCCAUUAAUUUGGUGUUGCGGGGAAACAGGACUGUUACUUUGAAAAAAUUAGAGUGUUUAAAGCAAGCUAACGCUUGAAUACAUUAGCAUGGAAUAAUGAAAUAGGACGAUCGAUCCUAUUUUGUUGGUUUCUAGGAUUGACGUAAUGAUUAAUAGGGAUAGUUGGGGGCAUUAGUAUUCAAUUGUCAGAGGUGAAAUUCUUGGAUGUAU